rnacentral:rRNA from 1 species
AUGAGCAAAGCGUUGAGUCUGAGAUAUCAGGGUCUGUCCACAUACGAAAAAGAAUAUCUGGCAAUCAUCGUGGCCGUAGAUCAAUGGCGCCCUUAUUUGCAAAACGCAGAAUUUGUCAUAUAUACAGAUCAGAAGAGCCUCACUCACCUGGAGGAACAGCGGCUGAACACACCAUGGCAACAGAAAGCUUUUACCAAGCUGUUGGGACUCCAGUAUCGCAUCAAGUACAAGAAGGGAUCUGAAAACAACGGCGCGGACGCCUUGUCACGCGCCAGCGCAUAA